CAAUAGCGUAUAUUAAAGUUGUUGCGGUUAAAAAGCUCGUAGUUGGAUUUCUGUUGGGAACGACCGGUCCGCCCAUUGGGUGUGUAUCUGGCUUGUUCUCGGCAUCUUCUUGGUGAACGUUGCUGCACUUGACUGUGUGGAGCGCUACCCAGGACUUUUACUUUGAGGAAAUUAGAGUGUUUCAAGCAGGCAUAUGCCUUGAAUACAUUAGCAUGGAAUAAUAAGAUAGGACCUCGGUUCUAUUUUGUUGGUUUCUAGAGCUGAGGUAAUGAUUAAUAGGGAUAGUUGGGGGCAUUCGUAUUUAACUGUCAGAGGUGAAAUUCUUGGAUUUGUUAAAAACGGACUACUGCGAAAGCAUUUGCCAAGGAUGUUUUCAUUGA
rnacentral:rRNA from 1 species